rnacentral:rRNA from 1 species
CCUACGGGCGGCAGCAGUGAGGAAUAUUGGUCAAUGGCCGGAAGGCUGAACCAGCCAAGCCGCGUGAAGGACGAAGGUUCCAAGCAUUGUAAACUUCUUUUGUCAAGGAACAAAAUCAGGCUCGAGAGCCUGACCGAGUGUACUUGAAGAACAAGCAUCGGCUAACUCCGUGCCAGCCGCCGCGGUAAUACGGAGGAUACGAGCGUUCUCCGGAUUUAUUGGGUUUAAAGGGUGGGUAGGCGGGAUGUUAAGUCAGCGGUAAAAGUCCGGGGCUCAACCUCGGCGAGCCGUUGAUACUGGCUGUCUUGAGAUGUCGAGAGGUAUGCGGAAUGCGGAGUGUAGCGGUGAAAUGCUUAGAUAUUGCGCAGAACUCCGAUUGCGAAGGCAGCAUACCGGCGGCGAUCUGACGCUGAGGCACGAAAGCGUGGGUAUCGAACAGGAUUAGAUACCCCAGUAGUC